CUAGGCGUAGCGCAGUUCGGUUAGCGUGCCUGCCUUGGAAGCAGGGGGUCGGAGGUUCAAAUCCUCCCGUCUAGACCA
rnacentral:tRNA from 1 species